UACGUAGGGUGCAAGCGUUAAUCGGAAUUACUGGGCGUAAAGCGUGCGCAGGCGGUUUUGUAAGUCUGACGUGAAAUCCCCGGGCUCAACCUGGGAAUUGCGUUGGAGACUGCGAAGGCUAGAAUCUGGCAGAGGGGGGGUAGAAUUCCACGUGUAGCAGUGAAAUGCGUAGAUAUGUGGAGGAACACCGAUGGCGAAGGCAGCCCCCUGGGUCAAAACUGACGCUCAUGCACGAAAGCGUGGGGAGCAAACAGGG
rnacentral:rRNA from 1 species